UGGGGAAUCUUGCACAAUGGGCGAAAGCCUGAUGCAGCCAUGCCGCGUGAGUGAAGAAGGCCCUAGGGUUGUAAAGCUCUUUCGGCGGGGAAGAUAAUGACGGUACCCGCAGAAGAAGCCCCGGCUAACUCCGUGCCAGCAGCCGCGGUAAUACGGAGGGGGCUAGCGUUGUUCGGAAUUACUGGGCGUAAAGCGCGCGUAGGCGGAUCGUUAAGUCAGGGGUGAAAGCCUGGGGCUCAACCUCAGAAUAGCCCUUGAUACUGGCGAUCUAGAGUCCGGAAGAGGUGAGUGGAAUUCCCAGUGUAGAGGUGAAAUUCGUAGAUAUUGGGAAGAACACCGGUGGCGAAGGCGGCUCACUGGUCCGGAACUGACGCUGAGGUGCGAAAGCGUGGGGAGCAAACAGGAUUAGAUACCCCCGUAGUCC
rnacentral:rRNA from 1 species